ensembl:lncRNA
UAGAUUAUGUUAGUGUUAUAGAGUAUGUUAUAGAUUAUAUGUUAGAGUAUGUUAGUGUUAUAGAGUAUGUUAGUGUUAUAGAGUAUGUUAUAGAUUAUAUGUUAGAGUAUGUUAGUGUUAUAGAGUAUGUUAUAGAUUAUAUGUUAGAGUAUGUUAGUGUUAUAGAGUGUGUUAUAGAGUAUAUGUUAGAGUAUGUUAGUGUUAUAGAGUGUGUUAUAGAUUAUAUGUUAGAGUAUGUUAGUGUUAUAGAGUAUGUUAGUGUUAUAGAGUAUGUUAGUGUUAUAGAGUAUGUUAGUGUUAUAGAGUGUUAUAGAUUAUAUGUUAGAGUAUGUUAGUGUUAUAGAGUAUGUUAGUGUUAUAGAGUAUGUUAGUGUUAUAGAGUAUGUUAGUGUUAUAGAGUGUUAUAGAUUAUAUGUUAGAGUAUGUUAGUGUUGUAGAGUAUGUUAGUGUUAUAGAGUGUGUUAUAGAUUAUAUGUUAGAGUAUGUUAGUGUUAUAGAGUGUUAUAGAUUAUAUGUUAGAGUAUGUUAGUGUUAGUGUGUUAGAGUAUACAGUAUGUUAUAGAGUAUGUUAUAGAUUAUAUGUUAGAGUAUGUUAGUGUUAUAGAGUGUGUUAGAGUAUAUGUUAGAGUAUGUUAGUGUUAGAGUGUGUUAGAGUAUACAGUAUGUUAUAGAGUAUGUUAUAGAGUAUAUGUUAGAGUAUGUUAGUGUUAUAGAGUGUGUUAGAGUAUACAGUAUGUUAUAGAGUA